rnacentral:rRNA from 1 species
CAUGCAGUCGACGAUGAACCACCUUCGGGUGGGGAUUAGUGGCGAACGGGUGAGUAACACGUGGGCAAUCUGCCCUGCACUCUGGGACAAGCCCUGGAAACGGGGUCUAAUACCGGAUACUGAACCGCUUGGGCAUCCAGGCGGUUCGAAAGCUCCGGCGGUGCAGGAUGAGCCCGCGGCCUAUCAGCUUGUUGGUGAGGUAACGGCUCACCAAGGCGACGACGGGUAGCCGGCCUGAGAGGGCGACCGGCCACACUGGGACUGAGACACGGCCCAGACUCCUACGGGAGGCAGCAGUGGGGAAUAUUGCACAAUGGGCGAAAGCCUGAUGCAGCGACGCCGCGUGAGGGAUGACGGCCUUCGGGUUGUAAACCUCUUUCAGCAGGGAAGAAGCGAAAGUGACGGUACCUGCAGAAGAAGCGCCGGCUAACUACGUGCCAGCAGCCGCGGUAAUACGUAGGGCGCGAGCGUUGUCCGGAAUUAUUGGGCGUAAAGAGCUCGUAGGCGGCUUGUCGCGUCGGUUGUGAAAGCCCGGGGCUUAACCCCGGGUCUGCAGUCGAUACGGGCAGGCUAGAGUUCGGUAGGGGAGAUCGGAAUUCCUGGUGUAGCGGUGAAAUGCGCAGAUAUCAGGAGGAACACCGGUGGCGAAGGCGGAUCUCUGGGCCGAUACUGACGCUGAGGAGCGAAAGCGUGGGGAGCGAACAGGAUUAGAUACCCUGGUAGUCCACGCCGUAAACGGUGGGCACUAGGUGUGGGCGACAUUCCACGUCGUCCGUGCCGCAGCUAACGCAUUAAGUGCCCCGCCUGGGAGUACGGCCGCAAGGCUAAAACUC